CCUACGGGCGGCUGCAGUGGGGAAUAUUGGUCAAUGGGCGAAAGCCUGACCCAGCAACGCCGCGUGAAGGACGAAGGCUUUUGGGUUGUAAACUUCUUUUGACAGGGAAGAGCAGAAGACGGUACCUGUCGAAUCAGCCACGGCUAACUACGUGCCAGCAGCCGCGGUAAUACGUAGGUGGCAAGCGUUGGCCGGAUUUACUGGGUGUAAAGGGCGUGUAGCCGGGCUGAAAAGUCAGAUUUGAAAUCCGGGGGCUCAACCACCGAACUGCAUUUGAGACUGUUGGUCUUGAGUAUCGGAGAGGCAGGCGGAAUUCCUAGUGUAGCGGUGAAAUGCAGAGAUAUUAGGAGGAACACUCGUGGCGAAGGCGGGUUCCUGGACAUUAACUGACGCUGAGGCACGAAGGCCAGGGGAGCGAAAGGGAUUAGAUACCCUUGUAGUC
rnacentral:rRNA from 1 species